rnacentral:rRNA from 1 species
UACGUAGGGUGCAAGCGUUGUCCGGAAUUAUUGGGCGUAAAGAGCUCGUAGGCGGUUUGUCGCGUCGGCUGUGAAAGCCCGGAGCCUCAACUCCGGGUCUGCAGUCGAUACGGGCAGACUUGAGUGUUGCAGGGGAGACUGGAAUUCCUGGUGUAGCGGUGAAAUGCGCAGAUAUCAGGAGGAACACCGGUGGCGAAGGCGGGUCUCUGGGCAACAACUGACGCUGAGGAGCGAAAGCGUGGGGAGCGAACAGG